UCAAAGUCUAGUUUGACAAACACCACAAGGCAGCUAACAAGUGUGAAGGUAACUGUCCAAGGUACUACAAGGAUGUAUGGAAAGAGGAGCGAGGGCAUCCACAGAGGAAGAAUGUGUUACAGGGGAUAGCAGCAUGACUGGAGGAGCCACAUAACCAACUCUCGACUGGCUCUAAAUACUGAGCUGGCUUCUUCCAGCAGAAGGCUGAAGGCUUCCCAUCGGAGGCCAUCCCUGGGCUCUGGAGUGUCACUGAACCUUUUGCAGGGACAGCUUCUCUGUAUGCUCUCAAAUGUUCAGCCAGUGCAAUACACAAAUAGCCUUCUUCAUGAAAAUGCCAUCUAUUAAUAGAUCCACAGUCAACUGCAGUCCAAGUGGCCAGCCCACGAAAACCAC